UGGGGCUGACGCUGAGCUAGGGCACUGAGACACUCUCUACUCUGGCAGCUGCUGGUUGGACUUCAGGAAGCAGGGCUUUCUCUGGAGCUUUUCGGGCCCUGUGGCCUUCAUCAUUUUCGUAAGUAUUCUCUGGGUACUGGAGGCCUGAGCAGGAAGAUUGCUAACUACUUGCAGCCCUAUAACCUGAAAGCCAUGUUCCCCACCAGUGCAAUGCUGCCAUUUUUGUGAUCACUGUCUGGAAGCUCACCAAGAAGUUUUCUGAAAUCAACCCAAACAUGAAGAAAUUAAGGAAGGCGAGGUGAGAAGGGUAGGGAGGGGGCUUUGAGCAGAGCCAAAGGCUAGGGCUGAGCAGGUCGUUUGGUGGGCUGGGGACCAGGAUGUUAGCUGCAACUGUCCACCCCUACAGAGUGCUGACCAUCACAGCCAUUGCCCAGCUCCUCGUGCUGGGCUGCACCUGGGGCUUCGGCCUGUUCCUCUUCAACCCUCAUAGCACAUGGCUGUCCUACAUCUUUACCCUGCUCAACUGCCUGCAGGGCCUUUUCCUCUAUGUGACGCUCUGCCUGCUCAACAAAAAGGUAGGCUGACCAGAGCUGGCUCCAGGAAGAGCCCGGGGUGGGAGGAGGCAGGGCCAGGCCCGAGUCCCAAGCCCAGCUCCCCAUAACCUGGUGCCUUGGGCUCACAGGUGAGGGAAGAGUACUGGAAAUGGGCCUGCAUGGUCACCGG
rnacentral:lncRNA from 1 species